GUGCUCCGGGGUCGGUGAAAUUCCGAGCCGGCGGUGAUAGUCCGCGACCCAACGUGAGUUGGUUGACCUGGUGGAACUCCGGGACCGACGGUUAAAGUCCGGAUGGGAGGAAGC
rnacentral:ncRNA from 1 species